CUGCUGCCUCCCGUAGGAGUCUGGUCCGUGCCUCAGUACCAGUGUGGGGGACCUUCCUCUCAGAACCCCUACGCAUCGUCGCCUCGGUGGGCCGUUACCCCGCCGACUAGCUAAUGCGACGCAUGGCCAUCCUAUGCCGGAGUCGCCUCCUUUGACCCCAAGAAGAUGUCUCCUAAAGGUGUUAUGCGGUAUUAGACGGAAUUUCUUCCGCUUAUCCCCCUGCAUAGGGCAGGUUCCAUACGUGUUACUCACCCGUGCGCCGGUCG
rnacentral:rRNA from 1 species